GACGAACGCUGGCGGCGUGCUUAACACAUGCAAGUCGAACGGUAAGGCCCUUCGGGGUACACGAGUGGCGAACGGGUGAGUAACGCGUGAGUAACCUGCCCUUCACUCUGGGAUAACAGUUGGAAACGGCUGCUAAUACCGGAUAUUCAGCUCCUGUCGCAUGGUGGGGGUUGGAAAGUUUUGGUGGUGGAGGAUGGGCUCGCGUCCUAUCAGCUUGUUGGUGGGUGAUGGCCUACCAAGGCGUCGACGGGUAGCCGGCCUGAGAGGGCGACCGGCCACAUUGGGACUGAGAUACGGCCCAAACUCCUACGGGAGGCAGCAGUGGGGAAUAUUGCACAAUGGGCGGAAGCCUGAUGCAGCAACGCCGCGUGCGGGAUGACGGCCUUCGGGUUGUAAACCGCUUUCAGCAGGGACGAAGCGCAAGUGACGGUACCUGCAGAAGAAGCACCGGCUAACUACGUG
rnacentral:rRNA from 1 species